GGCUGUCUCAUUUUAUUUGUUUUAAAAUUUAAUUUUUUAGUCAAAAAGCUUAAAUAUAAUUGGAAGACGAGAAGACCCUAUAGAUCNNUAUAUUUAAUUAAUUAUUUAUUUUUAUAUCAGUAUUUUUAUUUGAUUAAUUAUUGUGGUGGGGNGACAAAAAUAUAUANAUAAUUUUUUUAUUUACAUAACAUUGAUNUAUGAAUAUUAGAUCCAUUAUUAUUGAUUGUUAGAUUAAGUUACCUNAGGGAUAACAGCGUAAUCCUCNUCCAGAGUUCAUAUUUACGAGGGGGCUUGCGACCUCNANGUUGGAUUAAGAUAAUAGUUAGGUGUAGCCGCNUAAUGUAUAGGUCUGUUCGACCUUNAAAUUCUUACAUGAUCUGAG
rnacentral:rRNA from 1 species